rnacentral:lncRNA from 1 species
AAUGAAUAUCAAAACUACUCAAAACAAUAUACAAGCCCAAAAGUCUAGCUAAAAGUCGAAAAAUACAAACAACAUCAAGAUCAAUAACUAGAUCAAUCUCCAUAUCGAUGAAUUAUGAGCAAGGACAACAAGGUAGAUUGUUGUUGCACUUUUUGUAAAAAGCUCAGCAUGGUUAUGAGACAAAAGACUAACACUUCACAGACAUUCAAUAAGUGGUCAAGAAUAUUAUAGUUAUUAUCUUUUAAAGACAUAAAUAAAACUGGUCAUUUUCCACAAUCCAAACCAAAAUUUAAAGAGUAUCAAGUUUGUUCAAAUCGGUGGUCAAACCCAUAACUCGAGUUGAAUGCCCUAACACUUUUAUCAUACACAUCAUUUGUAACUCAAGUCUAUCUUUUAUGUUAGAUUUAGUGUGUUUGUAAAAAUCUUUUCAAGGUUGAAAGGUGACUGUAAAAAUCAUUUAUAUGUUGAAAGACGAAGAUGGUAAUUGAUCAAGGUGUGAUCAAAAAAUAAAGUGUGAAGGAGAAACAAAAUAUGAAGCACAUAGUGAAAAUCUUACAGUUGUGAGGAUUUGACUAGUUCGAGUUGGGUAAACUAGUAUAUUUUUUGUGUGUGAUAUUUAUAUCCCUUAUCUUUA